UGCAAGUCGAACGAGGUAGCAAUACCUAGUGGCAGACGGGUGAGUAACACGUGGUCAACCUUCCCGAUAGUGGGGGAUAACUAGCCGAAAGGUUAGCUAAUACCGCAUACGAUCUAUGAGCGGCAUCGCUUAUAGAUGAAAGGAGCAAUCCGCUUUCGGACGGGACCGCGUCCCAUUAGCUAGAUGGUGGGGUAAUGGCCUACCAUGGCGACGAUGGGUAGCUGGUUUGAGAGAGCGACCAGCCACACUGGGACUGAGAAGCGGCCCAGACUCCUACGGGAGGCAGCAGUGAGGAAUUUUCCGCAAUGGGCGAAAGCCUGACGGAGCGACGCCGCGUGUGGGAAGAAGGCCUUCGGGUCGUAAACCACUGUCGAAGGGGACGAUAAUGACGGUACCCUUGGAGGAAGCCCCGGCUAACUACGUGCCAGCAGCCGCGGUAAGACGUAGGGGGCAAGCGUUGUUCGGAAUUAUUGGGCGUAAAGCGCUCG
rnacentral:rRNA from 1 species